AUGAGGAAGAGAGCUUUGACCUCUCUGGAGAUCUUCCUGAUCCCCAUGUCCUUCCUCACAGCAGGGCCUGCUACAGUGCAACACCUUGACGUGUUCUGUGCAAAUCCUCUCCCUUUCUCAAUGGCCUUCACCAGGAACAGUCUUUCCCUCCCCCUGGGUCUGCAUGGUAGAAAAGUUGGCUAUGACAGUGUCAUAAGAUGGCAGCAGCACUACACGACAGGGUGGAGGCAGCUGGCUUUCUUAGGGAACAGAAUUUUUAAAACAUUUGAAGCAGUUUGAAGAGGCACCCACUGAAGGCGGUAGUUGCCUGUAUCUUGCAGCCUCUGUGUUGAGAGCCCUGCGCCCCAGGGAUGUAAGGGGGUGUGGUGCUUCCUGGCGCCCCCAGCCUGGUGCACAAGCCUGGCUGGGUUGUUCGUACCUGCCACCACGGAGUGCAAGCUCAGUCUCACCUGUGACGAUGUGCUGCCACCUGCUGCUGAUUCCCUUCUUUGUAGAUCUGCUAAUCCCUGCCAUCGGCCACCUUCUCCACGGGACCAGCUGAACUCCAGUCAGUUCGGGCAGGGGAGAUGAAGGCAAACAUCCAGUGGAACCUGCCUAGAACUGGAGAAGUGCUGUCUGCAGAGAAAUCACGCCUGGCAUCUGUCACCAAGAACAUGCUGACUCCUGGGUUGGCUGCCUGUGGGGACCUCCCCAGCCGGGGGAGACCAGUGUCUGAAGGAGGCACGUGUGCACUCAGGCCAGUAGGUCAAAAGAGAAGGAGAUCGGCAACCAUAAAAUGCUAGCACAAGGAAUUUCAUGGAUCUGCUUUGAAAUUCCAGAGCAGAUUUGGGUGACUGCAGAGUUGUAUUGGCUUUUUUUUUUUUUUUUUGAAUGCUUUCCUCUGUCCAAGAGCAGCUCUGCCUUCGUGCCCACCAGUAUCAUAACUUGUCAUUCAAAUGAUUUCUUGAACAACAUAUAAUUGACCUCUGGUCAAGCUUACUAAAACACAGUUUAAACGUUUUUUCCUUAAUCUCACUUGACAGUUUGGCUGUAAUUGAAAUUAUAUCUUCCAAGUGCAGAAAUGUUAUGCUGUCCUAUUAAACUCUGCACUUCGGUGCCCUUUGCACAGUGUAGGGCUUGGAACUGAGAUGUCCCAGGGCAGGCACUUACCCCCUCUUGUGGUCUGCCAGUGCAUACACAUACGUGCAUAUGUGUUUUUUUUUUCCCGUUCUUUUUUUUUUCCUCCCCUGAGGUGAAGUCUAAGCACUUGUCCAUGAACACUGAUUAGGGUGUUAUGAAA
rnacentral:lncRNA from 1 species